rnacentral:lncRNA from 1 species
GAUAAGAGUGUCUUUAGUGUGUUCGAGAGAUAACCAGUGGCUGGGGGCCCCUAUAUGGCUUCAGGCUGGUCACUUGAAAGACCAAGGUAUGAUUACAAGGUUAGAACUUUUAGUGUCUCACCUCCCCCAACCACCACACACACACACAUACAUACAUGAAAGGGAGAGAGGAUGAAGAUUAAACUUGUGCCAGUCAACAAGUUUUGGCCAAUCAAAUGUGACCAACUGCUCAAACCGUGUUCAAAUAAGGCAAAUGCCGAGUUAUAACCAAUCCUGCUGUUUUUGUGCCUUACUUCCAUUUUCUGUGUAUCUCUGUCCUUUUUCUGUCCAUAAAUCUUCUUCCACCACGUGGCUGUGUGGGAGUCUCUGAGCCCAUUCUGGCUCGGGAGGCUACCAGGGAUAAGAUCCAAUCAGGUACAGCCUCCUACUUAUUUAAAAUAAGCAAACACACUUUACA